CAGUCGCCACGGUAAUGCGAAGGGUGCAAGCGUUAAUCGGAAUUACUGGGCGUAAAGCGUGCGUAGGCGGUGAGUUAAGUCUGCUGUGAAAUCCCCGGGCUCAACCUGGGAAUGGCAGUGGAUACUGGCUCGCUAGAGUGUGUCAGAGGAUGGUGGAAUUCCCGGUGCAGCGGUGAAAUGCGUAGAGAUCGGGAGGAACACCGAUGGCGAAGGCAAUCCCCUGGACCUGUACUGACGCUCAUGCACGAAAGCGUGGGGAGCAAACAGGAUUAGAUACCCCAGUAGUCCCUGUCUCUUAUAC
rnacentral:rRNA from 1 species